UACUAAAAUUUAAAUGCUAAAACACUAGGAGAACCCCACAUCACUAGGAGAAAUUGAAAAAUCUGGUUGUGGUUCUUGCUUUAUUGGAGACAUUACCUACAUUAACUAUCUAACUUGUGCAACGGUUGUUUUGAUGCUAUGGACUUGGGCGCACCUGCAAUCUCUCCAUGGUGCCUCAUGUUGACACAAUGCAAGCUUGUGGCCUCGAUUGGAAGUAAGAGUCACUUCCAUGCUUGGCAACAGUGACUAGGUUUUUCGGACCAUGUCUUCAAAUAGUUGUUUCGGAUGUUUUCUUUCAAGUUCUUAAUUAUGCUUGGUGUUGGCUUCUUAAUUGACUUUGCAGUGGUAGUUGAUAUAGUUUAGUCAUUCUGUUCUUCAUUAUACAUUUCAGGCCAACUGGUUGAGUUGAGUUGUUUUAGAAUCAUCUUAUCUUAGUGUGGCAUACCUGAGUGAGUGAAGGAGUUAAAUUUUGAGUUGGUUGUUGUACUAAGGGCAUGUUUGAACUAUAGCCUAAGAUUGCUACAACUAACCUUCAAUCCAAAAAUAAUUAGCUAGUGUUUGCUUCUAACCACAACUUAUUAGUCUAUCUAACUUGUUAGUCACUUGACUCAACUAUUUUAGAUUCAACACCUUUUUCCUAACAUUAACUAAGUUUUCUUUUUACAAAUUACACAAGUACAUAUUAGACGCUCAACACACUUAGUAGCUUAGGCAAAAAAGUAUGGCAUGCAAGCAUAAUUGUCAACCAAACAUGCACUAGUUGGUAGGGGAAGUGUGGCAUAUCUUGGUUGUCAUGAUCAAUUUCCUCUAAAAAUAGUGUCAUUUUUUUUAAAAAAAAUCUAAAAAAAAUUAAGGCAAUUUUUUGGCCGAGCUUUUAAAACUUAUAGCAAAUUCAUACUAGAUUUUAAGAGAAAUUCACUAUCAAAAUAAUGCACUUAAAUACUUUAAAUUUCGUAUGAUUAAUUAGUGUUAGUACGUACUGACGACGGACGAAAGGGAUGGAGUAACUGAGCUGCAAUUUUUCUUCUUCUCUGAUUAAUCAGCGACUCAGCUUGUUCACUUUGACUAUCACUUUAUUUACACGUACACUCAAGUCUAUGCCAAGGACGUGACACGUUUCCCAAGUCCCAAAAAACUAUGUGUUCACCCUGAAAAAUAAAAAGUUUUCAAGAUUUUUCGUCACAUCGAAUUUUAUGGUACAUAUAUGAAAUAUUAAAUAUAGACGAAAACAAAAACUAAUUACACAGUUUAGCUGUAAAUCACGAAACGAAUCUUUUGAUCCUAGUUAGUCCAUGAUUGGAUAAUAUUUGUCACAAACAAACGAAAGUGCUAGAGUACCAAAAACUUUUCACUUCGGAACUAAACAAGGCCCUAAUAAUUAACGAGUCUGGUACGAAAGAAAACUAACUUUUGAACGUGUCAGUAAUGGCUGCUGCCUCGAGAAUAUUCUCACACUAAUAAUUUAGAUCUAUAUUUAUACGACGGUCUCCCGUUUUAUUCCCUUGCCACCUCAUCCGGCCAUCGGUUUCAGAUGAGGCGAGAUCUCGGCCGUCGGUAGCUUCGUGCCUUUGCCAAAUGCGUGACGGAACCAAUCAUCAACUAACGAUCUCCAAGAACCACCAAACCAUAUCUUAUAGACAGCGCCAUCAGUGGAGAGUGGAGACGACGACUUCGAAAAUAUUAAUUAAUUUUAAGCUUUAUCUGGAUCCAAAUAGCUAAUAGUUAGCAAGUAAUAAUUAGCUUAUUUGAUUCGAAUGAGGUCUUGUUUAGUUCACCCAAAAACAAAAAAAAAAAAUUCAAGAUUCCCCGUCACAUCGAAUCUUACACCACAUGCAUGAAGCAUUAAAUAUAAACAAAAACAAAAAUUAAUUACACAGUUUGCCUGUAAAUCGUGAGACGAAUCUUUUGACUCUAGUUAAUUUAUAAUUGGAUAAUAUUUGCCACAAACAAACAAAAAUGCUACAGUAGCGAAAUCCAAAAAGUUUUCGCAUCUACACAAGGCCUGAAUCUAUCUAAUAGUUUAGCUAAUUGUUAGAUAAUACCAAACUAACAAUUAUCUUACUAGCUUGAUGAAACCAACUAAUAUCAUAGCUAGCUAAGAUUAAUAAGCUAUGAUCUAUUAUCUAGCUAAUUAUUAGUACCUAUGGAUACAAACAGGGUCUUAAAAGUAUAUAUGUCUAAGAAGUAUAUAUAUAUUAGGAAAAUUAUAUUGAAAUAUUAGCCAUACUUUAGGAUGCGUCAUAUGCGUGCCUCGUGUCCUUGGAAUCGUUCAUCACCUGCAACCCACAGAAUAUAAACUAUACAACCGUAUAUAUCACGUACGUCGUUGAAACAAUUCAACUAUGUAUGUAUGUAUGUAUGUAUGUAUGUAUGUAUGUAUGUAUGUAUGUAUGUAUGUAUGUAUGUAUGUAUGUAUGUAUGUAUGUAUGUAUGUAUGUAUGUAUGUAUGUAUGUAUGUAUAGUCGUCGCAUUUGUUUUUUUAACAAAUACUAAGAGGUUUUGGAUUUAAGCUUUUUGAUGGAAAAAAGGUAGCUUCGAUUUUAGCUUCACAGGCUAUUUCCAAGUGCACACACGUUUGGGUAGACACAGAAGUCCUGAUACAUAUAAAAACCGCGUCAAAAUUAAUGUAGACAGCUACAUACACUUGGCACACAUUCCAUAUCCUCUCUGGAAUAAUAUGUUAUAUCUAAUAAAAAGAACACGUCAAAGUUCAACAUAGACAGCUAUGUGUAAAAGGGAUCUCCUUCUCACGGUAGUUUCUUGGGUUUUCCGCAGUCGUCGUGUGAUUAUGCUACUUUACAUGUGAUUCCUCUUGAAAAAUGACCUUUAUUUAGAGUAUCUCUAACAGUUUAGUAAAUGACUUCUCUAUAUAGUUUUUAGUAAAAUAAAAAAAAUUCUUUCCAACAGUUUAGUAUCUCAAUUCUCCAUCUUUUCUAACUUGGGAUAUCUUUCAGUCUAGCGCGCAAAUAUGUAUACUGGCUUCAUACUUGGCAUCGAUCUUUCUCCUCAGCUUUGAGGGGCCCUUCAUUCGCUUAGUGAGACUCUUCGUUCAUUUAGCGGAGCUCUUUGUUUCGAUAACGGGUUUAGAGUUUUUAGAAACGAAAUUUACCAAACUGUUGAAGAUAAUUUUUUUUUCUCUUUAUAUUAUUUUGAGAGUUGACAAACAACUAGAUUUGGAAAACGAUUUUUGCGAUACGGUUAGAGAUACCUUCUUCACUCUUACAAACCUGGAAAAUGACAGUUUUCGUUUCCUAGUAGUUGGUCACAGACACCCGAGCACACCCGUAACUGCUUCUUCCUCUGGCC
rnacentral:lncRNA from 1 species